UAGGUUGCAAGCGUUGUCCGGAUUUACUGGGUGUAAAGGGCGUGUAGGCGGAGAUGCAAGUUGGGAGUGAAAUCCCGGGGCUCAACCCCGGAACUGCUUUCAAAACUGUAUCCCUUGAGUAUCGGAGAGGCAAGCGGAAUUCCUAGUGUAGCGGUGAAAUGCGUAGAUAUUAGGAGGAACACCAGUGGCGAAGGCGGCUUGCUGGACGACAACUGACGCUGAGGCGCGAAAGCGUGGGGAGCAAA
rnacentral:rRNA from 1 species